UACAGAGGUCCCAAGCGUUGUUCGGAUUCACUGGGCGUAAAGGGUGCGUAGGUGGUGAGGUAAGUCUGAUGUGAAAUCUCCAAGCUUAACUUGGAAAUGGCAUUGGAAACUACCUUGCUAGAGGAUUGGAGGGGAGACUGGAAUUCUUGGUGUAGCAGUGAAAUGCGUAGAUAUCAAGAGGAACACCAGUGGCGAAAGCGAGUCUCUGGACAAUUCCUGACACUGAGGCACGAAAGCUAGGGGAGCAAACGGG
rnacentral:rRNA from 1 species